UCUGACCCCCAAAACCAUCGCGUUCUCAUUUGCUACAUCGCCUGUUCUUUUUCAAAGAGUUUCAGGUCUUUAUGAUGCAGAUUGGGAUGUACAGGACUCCAGGUUGCUGAAGAGCGCUUAAGGAAACAACACAAGAUCAAAUGGUUCAGAGGUGGAGAAGAUGACUCGAUCAACAAUUGCAUGAACUACCACCGUUAAAUUUUCAGGGUUCCCCUUACUGAGGAGCUCCACCGCACCAUGUCGUCUACCCGAAUCAUCAAAGGUGGAACCA